AGCAUUGGAACAAUGGGGACCGACUCCAGCAGGACGACUAUUCAGCAGCAGAGCACAUGGUCCAUGAGGAUUUGCCUGUUGCAGAAUCAUCAGUUGCUUUUCAACUGCCGGCAAGCUGAACCUGUUAAAACAUGGCAGGUUCCAAAGGGCCUGACUGCUGCUGGCUUUGUCGCAUACUUAACGUCAAUUUACCCCCAAAUGGAGAGGAGAAACUUUCAGUUCUGCAAAGUUAACCGCCAUAGGGUCCUGAUCUCCCUUGAGGAGAAAACCCCUGAACAAUUACGGUCCAGUGGAGUGUUGGGUCGUUCGGCUCUAUACAUUCGCCCUGAGGUUAAGUAUUGUUCUUUAUUGAAUUUUUCUGUUGUU